CCUGUGUUGCUUGGAUGGUCUAUUCUCUAGAUGAUCUUGUAUUAACAUUAUGGAGAAUAGUUUAUUAGCUUAUCUUUGGAAUAUAGGGGGGAAUGGGUUCGAAUAGUGUUUCAAAAGCUUUUCACAAAAACAAUGUUUAAUAACUAUUGCAAUGUUAGUUAAACUACAAGAGUUGUUAAAUGCUUAUGUUUUCACCAAGUAUUUAGGAAAACAUUUUAAACAGGACAAAUAAUGACACAAGUAUUUUUAUAUUGGUUCACUCAACCUGAGCUACAUCCAGUCUCCUUUAAGAAAUAUUAAAGGGUUCCAUUAAUCUUAUACAAGAUUACAAAAG
rnacentral:lncRNA from 1 species